UCAUUGAAUAUGCAUUUUCUGUUUUAAUUUUAAAUGCCAAAAUGUUUAUGAAAACAUACCAUCAUUGUGCUAAACAAGAAGAGUCUGUAUAUGAUUUUCUAUCCCUCUUUUUCUCUUCAAGGUUUAGAACAUCCACAAAUGCAUUUAUUCCGUUUGAUGCUACGUACUGACCCCUGUAGAAGCUUUCAAAGAUACCUUUCAAUGUGUAAACCCCAGUUUUUGAUUGGUAAAGUUCAUCUCUGCCAGACAAAAAAUAAAUACUUAAUAUUGUUGUAUGUAUAUAUUUAGAUGUUUGUUAGUUGAUAUAACCAUUUUACUUACUCUAUGUCUGCAAAUAUAGCAAAUGUAUAUCGGAUCACACUCAAUUCUUGAUUCAAGAGUGCUUCGUGCAUGUUUACCACUCUGUUGCAUUAAGGGGAACAAAAUGCGUCUCCAAGCUCUGCACAUCUUUUCUCAGCUUGAAUUUUGGCUGCUUCUAUUGUCUUACAAAGGAGUUCAUUUAACCCCUUUGGUAGAACUUGUUUUAGAACUUUCUUUGGCUUUGAGUUUUUUCUUCCCCUAGCUGGUUUUUUUCCUUAUUUUCUUCCAGUCUGGGUCCCAGGCUCAAAAGCAGCUCAACAGACUGCAAUUCCUCAGCCGUCACCUGAGGGCAUUCAACUUCCGGUUCCUUCCCAACUUCGAUACCCGAAUCAGUUUGUUGAGGGUCUUUUUGUGUAGUUUCUCCUAAAGAAACUGCUUCCAAUUCUGGCUCUUUUUCUUGAAUGUUUUGUGUAGAUUCUGCCAAGUUCACUGUUUCUUCGAUAACAGUUUCAUUUUCACCACUUUCUGCAGGCAAGAAUGGUUUGUAAGCGUAUACACCCGUGUCGAUAGUUUGAAUGUUUGCAAUAAGGGUGUCUGUCACUCCUCCAUCAUCUUUAUUUGUCAAUCCUUCAUCAUCUGGCUGCAGUACCCCUAUAGAUACAAAUUAUUGACUUUUAAUACAUCAGAAUCAAAAUCGCAUGGUAUACAUAACAUUGUAUGCGAAAUCAAAUGUGAAGUGUUUGGCAGAAAUCGCAUGUGUUUUUUAUAGGUAUCACAUGUGUAUAAGAAAUAGUGAUUUUUUACAUAAUUUCGCAUGUGUUAAUUUUGAAAUCGCAUGUUUUACCUUCUGAUGCCAUUUGUACCAAAACAUUGGAUAUUACUUUUUGAGCUUCUUCAUUCUGUCUACCUUCUUCGUUUGUAGUAACUUCAUGAUGAACUUCAGAAGCUGGAUUUUCAGGCUCUUGAUGAACAUGAGAGGGUGCAGUUUCAUGCUCUUGAACCGAAUCAGGCGGCACACAAAUGGGAUUAUUCCGAAGCGUUUCAUCCCACUGCUUACAGACCUCCAUAAUCUUCGGAUCCCAAAAACACAUAGUUUUUGCUUCUGAAACUAAGUUGUUCAUCCCUUGAACAUCUUGAACCAUUUUAAUGUAUUUUUUGACAUUGGCUUUCAUUUUUUUAACAGGUUUUGUAAUAUUUUUCGAGUUAAGAUACUAUCAAUUCAAAUGUUAAAUAUAAA